UCAAUGCCAUAAACACUAGCGAAUAAAUGCGACAGGAUCGACGUGCGGACAUGAUUAGUAACUCAUGAGGUGUUGACGUUGGCGCAGGCAGAGACCGUCGACAGAUCAUAGUGAGUGCUAAAGAAAUAUGCUAAUAAGCGCGAUACUCGAUGUAACAUUGGCUGAAGGUGUCCCGCAUGUCUUGAAGUCGACAGCGGAUUGCAGCCAACAUCAUUUUGCUGUUCAUUUGGAAACAAAUGACACACGUGAAGCGGCACGGCAGACGACUGCUUAACACGUCUGCCUCCCAGCCAGUUCCGAGGACCGGGGUUCAAAUCAGGCCUCGCCUGUGUGGAGUUUGCAUGUUCUCCCCGUGCCUGCGUGGGGUUUUUGUCCGGGGACUCCGCUUUCCUCCCACAUCCCCAAAACAUGCGUGCUAACUUCAUUGAGGAGUCUACAUUUUAACCCUUAUUUAGACUCCAAAUUGCCCGUCGGUGUGAAUGUGAGUGCGAAUGGUUGUUUGUUUCUGUGUGCCCUGCGAUUGGCUGGUGACCGGUUGAGGGUGGACCCCGCCUCCUGCCCGAAGAUGGCUGAGAUCGGCUCCAGCACUCCCGCGAGCGACCCUUGUGUGGGACCGUCUUACAGAGCCUCUUUAGUGUUCUUAGUUUAGCCAUGUGAUGGAAUCACAGUUUGUGGAAAACUGACCACUCACAUGAGCCGUAGUUGGGGGUGAUCAACGCCACGUACCGGUGUCCUCGGUGUGCCUCCCUCUCCUCCAAAGUCGGGACGGACAAACUGCUCGAGGUUGGGAGAGAACACGCUCGCUCAUAUUUCACCCUGGUUCUGAGAUGAGCCUCGCUGCCCGUCAGACGGAAUCGGCAGCCCUCCUCGUUGUUGAUGAGUCGCGGGCAUGCUGGAGCCCAUCCCAGCUAUCUUCGGGCGAGAGGCGGGGUACGCCCUGAACUGGUCGCCAGCCAAUCGCAGGGCACAUAUCAACAAACGUUCACAUUCACGCCUACAUUUAGGACAUAAAAAAAACAUAUAUGGAGAGUCAUUGAACAAUUCAUGUGUAUCACUAGUGUGGUGAUGCAGAUAUAAUGGCAUUGUGCACGAUGCAUAGUCCUCAAGCAAUUUAGAGCAAUUUAAAGUGACUCAUAGUGCAAUGAUCUGGAAAUGGUGCAAAGAGUUCUCAAACACAUAAAUGGGCAGUAGUAAUCAACAACAGGAUGCAAAUAGUGCAGCGUGAUGAAACAGUGAGUGUACAAAUAAUGUAGAAGUGGCCGACAGAGUUGUGGAAAAUUGUCCUGUGACCUUCUUGAGGUUAUCCAGCACGAGGUGUUCAAAGGACUUCAUGACCACAGAUAUCAGGGCUACAGGCCUGUAGUCAUUCAGUCCUGAAAUUACAGGUUUCUUAGAGAUUGGGAUGUUGGUAGAGCGUUUGAGGCAGGAUGGAAUGUCACACAGUUGCAAAGAUCUAUUGAAGAACUGUCUAAAAACUAAAUCUCUCUCUAUAUAUAUAUAUAUAUACACACGCGCACACGCACACACACACACACACCAGGGGCCUUCAAAGCCUUCUCUGUUGGCCUAACCCUUAUCAAAAACACUGACCUGCAUUUACAACUUACAUAAAAUUGUAUUCAUUUAUUUCCCACCGUCUCUUGUAUUCAUUUGAUAGCGUGUGUGCGGGCUGAGCAGCCUUCAGUCGUUUAAGGGUUUAAGUUUCAUUUUUUUGCUUCCAAUCAGAUUUCAGCUUCUAUUUGUGUUGCCAUGUGAACGUAGGGUUCCUGGCCCUUCAGACUGAAGAUUGCUGACCGAUGCCAAAUAAACACAAACAAAUCUUCUUUUCCUUUCGGCUUGUCCCGUUCGGGAUCGCCACAGCGUGUCAUCCUUUUCCAUGAGAGCCUAUCUCCUGCAUCCUCCUCUCGAGCACCAACUGCCCUCACAACAUCCAUCAACCUCUGGAUGUCUCCAAACCAUCGAAGUCUGCUCCCUCUAACUUUGUCUCCAAAACACCGAACCUUGGCUGUCCCUCUGAUGAGCUCAUUUCUACUCUGUACAUCAUGGCUGGCCUCGC